CCUACGGGAGGCAGCAGUGGGGAAUAUUGGACAAUGGGGGAACCCCUUAUCCAGCGACGCCGCGUGAGGGAAGAAUGUUUUCGGAUUGGAAACCUCUGUCAGUGGGGACGAUAAUGACGGUACCCACGGAGGAAGUCACGGCUAACUACGUGCCAGCAGCCGCGGUAAUACGGAGGGGGCAAGCGUUGUCCGGAAUUACUGGGGGUAAAGGGAGCGUAGGCGGGAUGUCAAGUCAGAAGGGAAAAUUAUGGGCUCAACUCAUAAACUGCUGUUGAAACUGUUAUUCUUGAGUGAAGUAGAGGCAAGCGGAAUGCCUAGUGUAGCGGUGAAAUGCGUAGAUAUUAGGAGGAACACCAGUGGCGAAGGCGGCUUGCUGGGCUUUUACUGACGCUGAGGCUCGAAAGCGUGGGGAGCAAACAGGAUUAGAUACCCGGGUAGUC
rnacentral:rRNA from 1 species